AUGCAAAUGCAGUUCCCGGAGGGGUCGCUGCAGCAAUGGCCGCCGCGAUUGGAGCCCGAGCCAGCUCCGAUGAUGUCGGCCGGGCUGGGCCUCGGGUUACCAUACGACUCUACCGGCUGUCCGAUGGGGUUGCCGGAGCUCAUGAUGGGCCAGUCAUCACUGUUCAGCGCCAAUCCGGCCACGCUGGACUUCCUGGGGCUCGGGAUGAGCCCCACCGGCGCAAUGACGAGCAAGGGCCUGCCCGUAUUCAUGCAGCCCAUGGGCGGCGCGGUCGGCAUGGCACGGACCGGCAGCGGCAUGGCGGAGACAUUCGGCUCCAUCCCGAGCGCUCAGGCCAAGCCAUGGGAGAGGAUCCCGAGUAGCUCGCCGAUCCUGUGA
rnacentral:rRNA from 1 species